GACGAAGGAUGCAAGCGUUAUCCGGAUUCAUUGGGUUUAAAGGGCGCGUAGGUGGCCUUGUAAGUCAGUGGUGAAAUCUGGCAGCUUAACUGCUAAAUUGCCAUUGAUACUGCAGGGCUUGAGUACAGAUGCCGUUGGCGGAAUAUGACAUGUAGUGGUGAAAUACAUAGAGAUGUCAUAGAACACCGAUUGCGAAGGCAGCUGACGAAACUGUAACUGACACUGAGGCUCGAAAGUGUGGGGAUCAAACAGG
rnacentral:rRNA from 1 species